GACGAACGCUGGCGGCGUGCCUAAUACAUGCAAGUAGAACGCUGAAGGAGGAGCUUGCUCUUCUGGAUGAGUUGCGAACGGGUGAGUAACGCGUAGGUAACCUGCCUGGUAGCGGGGGAUAACUAUUGGAAACGAUAGCUAAUACCGCAUAAGAGUAGAUGUUGCAUGACAUUUACUUAAAAGGUGCAAUUGCAUCACUACCAGAUGGACCUGCGUUGUAUUAGCUAGUUGGUGGGGUAACGGCUUACCAAGGCGACGAUACAUAGCCGACCUGAGAGGGUGUUGGCCAACACGGGGCAGGAGACACGCCCCAGACCCUUCCGGGAGGAGGCAGUAGGGAUCUUUGGGAAAGGGCCGAAAUUCUGACCGAGCAGCCCCGGGUGAGGAAGGAGGUUUUUGGUACCGAAAAGCUUUUUUGAAAGAGAAGAGCGGUGGGGGGAGUGAAAAGUUCACCCUGGCAGGGUAUCUAACAAGAAGGGGCCGCCUACCUACGUC
rnacentral:rRNA from 1 species